GACGAACGCUGGCGGCGUGCUUAACACAUGCAAGUCGAACGGAAAGGCCCUGCUUUUGUGGGGUGCUCGAGUGGCGAACGGGUGAGUAACACGUGAGUAACCUGCCCUUGACUUUGGGAUAACUUCAGGAAACUGGGGCUAAUACCGGAUAGGAGCUCCCGCUGCAUGGUGGGGGUUGGAAAGUUUCGGCGGUUGGGGAUGUACUCGCGGCGUAUCAGCUUGUUGGUGGGGUAGUGGCUUACCAAGGCCUUGACGGGUAGCCGGCCUGGGAGGGUGACCGGACACAUUGGGACUGAGAUACGGCCCAGACUCCUACGGGAGGCAGCAGUGGGGAAUAUUGCACAAUGGGAGGAAGCCUGAUGCAGCAACGCCGCGUGCGGGAUGACGGCCUUCGGGUUGGAAACCGCUUUCGCCUGUGACGAAGCGUGAGUGACGGUAAUGGGUAAAGAAGCACCGGCUAACUACGUG
rnacentral:rRNA from 1 species